rfam:Myotis lucifugus cont2.1468, whole genome shotgun sequence.
GCCAUUGUGGCUCAGUGGUUGAGCAGCCACCUGUGCACUGGGAGAUCCCCGGUUCAAUUCCGGGUCAGGGCA